CAGCAGCCGCGGGAAUACGAAGGGGGCUAGCGUUGCUCGGAAUGACUGGGCGUAAAGGGCGCGUAGGCGGUUUGGACAGUCAGAUGUGAAAUUCCUGGGCUUAACCUGGGGGCUGCAUUUGAUACGUACAGGCUUGAGUGUGGAAGAGGGUCGUGGAAUUCCCAGUGUAGAGGUGAAAUUCGUAGAUAUUGGGAAGAACACCGGCGGCGAAGGCGGCGACCUGGUCCAUUACUGACGCUGAGGCGCGAAAGCGUGGGGAGCAAACAGGAUUAGAUACCCGCGUAGUCCCUGUCUCUUAUAC
rnacentral:rRNA from 1 species